ACGGGAGGCAGCAGUGGGGAAUAUUGGGCAAUGGGGGAAACCCUGACCUAGCAACGCCGCGUGAAGGAAGAAGGCCUUCGGGUUGUAAACUUCUUUUACCAGGGACGAUAAUGACGGUACCUGGAGAAAAAGCAGCGGCUAACUACGUGCCAGCAGCCGCGGUAAUACGUAGGUUGCAAGCGUUGUCCGGAUUUACUGGGUGUAAAGGGCGUGUAGGCGGAGCUGCAAGUCAGAUGUGAAAUCCCGGGGCUCAACCCCGGAACUGCAUUUGAAACUGUAGCCCCUGAGUAUCGGAGAGGCAAGCGGAAUUCCUAGUGUAGCGGUGAAAUGCGUAGAUAUCAGGAGGAACACCAGUGGCGAAGGCGGCUUGCUGGACGACAACUGACGCUGAGGCGCGAAAGCGUGGGGAGCAAACAGGAUUAGAUACCCUGGUA
rnacentral:rRNA from 1 species